rnacentral:rRNA from 1 species
CGGGUCCUACGGGGGGCAGCAGUGAGGAAUAUUGGUCAAUGGGCGGAAGCCUGAACCAGCCAAGUCGCGUGAGGGAAUAAGGCCCUACGGGUCGUAAACCUCUUUUGCCGGGGAGCAAGGGCCGGGACGAGUCCCGGUCCGGAGAGUACCCGGAGAAAAAGCAUCGGCUAACUCCGUGCCAGCAGCCGCGGUAAUACGGAGGAUGCGAGCGUUAUCCGGAUUUAUUGGGUUUAAAGGGUGCGUAGGCGGGCUUUUAAGUCAGCGGUAAAAUUUCGCGGCUCAACCCCGUCCGGCCGUUGAAACUG